GUGAGUACACGUGGGUAACUGCCUCAGAGAGGGGAAUAGCCUUCCGAAAGGAAGAUUAAUACCGCAUAAUAUACGCAUUUAGCAUUAUGAGCGUAUCAAAGGAGAAAUCCGCUUUGAGAUGGGCCCGCAGCGCAUUAGCUAGUUGGAGAGGUAACGGCUCACCAAGGCGACGAUGCGUAGCCGACCUGAGAGGGUGAUCGGCCACAUUGGAACUGAGAGGACGGUCCAGACUCCUACGGGAGGCAGCAGUGGGGAAUAUUGCACAAUGGGGGAAACCCUGAUGCAGCAACGCCGCGUGAAUGAUGAAGGCCUUCGGGUCGUAAAGUUCUUUGAUUGGGGACGAUAAUGACGGUACCCAAAAAACAAGCCACGGCUAACUACGUGCCAGCAGCCGCGGUAAUACGUAGGUGGCGAGCGUUGUCCGGAUUUACUGGGCGUAAAGGAUGC
rnacentral:rRNA from 2 species